GGAAACUUAAUCUCUUAAAAUAGAGAUCACUUUUUGACAUUUUCUCCAGUGCUCUUUUGAUUUCUUAAUAUUCAUUUAGGAGACUGGACUUUCACAAUAAUUAAUCAGGAUGAAUAAGAUUCUUCUCCUUGGAUUUUCAGCUCUGUUCUGCUGGACUGUUGCCCAAGGCAUCAUGUGUAAAGUCUGUCUAGCUGGAAAUGAGAAAGGGUGCUAUUCUCCAGUUGGUGUUUGCAAGAGUGAUGUGGGACGAUGUUAUACGUAUGCAGCCUACUUUGGUGAUGAGCCUUAUUUCCUGACUUAUGAUUGUGUCAAUGAUAACUAUUGGUCCUUUUAUUGCAACAAUACUGAAAAGGAUGGAAAAUAUACACACAUCGAAGUUUGUUGUAGCAAAGAAAAGUGUAAUGGAGAACUCCCACCCCUGCCUCGAAGUUGGAAUUAA
rnacentral:lncRNA from 1 species